GUGUGCAUUUAUAAAGAAGGACAGUUACUGUUGGAGGACUUUCCCCUCCCCCAGUUCUUCCUCAAGUACAUCCAGCUAGGAGGGUUUUCAGCCCUUUUUGUCUUUUUACGAUUUAGCAAGAUCAGACACAUUUCUGCAAUGCAUAUGCAGAUUUCACCUCUUGUUACUUUCUCUAAUGAACGUUCACUUAAUCAAUUUGACAGAUGCCUUUAUCCCCCUCCCCUUUUUCCCUGCUUCACUUUCACUGAGAAAGUUUACAGGAAAAAAAAAGUGUUAACAGAUUCAAGGGGGCAUUAGAAAUGUGAAAGGGUAGCCGACCAAGAUGGGGUGGAUGAGGGCUUUUCAAUGGCCCUGCUCUCCGGCCACCAGCUCUGUCCAGUCCUGAAACCAGGAAGCAGGUCUGCCAGCCUCAUAAGAAAGCAGGUAUUUUAAUAGCUGGCAGGAAAUGAUUUUCCUUUUCUCUUCAAAAGUCAAAAAGAAUGGUUAUUUAACACAACAUUUAAGCAUAAUACUUUCUUAUCUCCCCGUGCCCCUAUUCGGCCCAAAGCACCUUAAAAAAUAUUUAUGCAAGAGAUAAUCUUGUCGGACUUUCUGGGUGGUCCAGUGGUUAAGAAUCCAAUGCAGGGGAUGCUGGUUCGAAGGUUCAAUCCGUGGUCAGGGAACUAAGAUACCACAUGCCUCAGGGCAGCUAAGCGCGAGCAUCUCAACUAAGACUGGUGCAGCCAAAAUCAAAUAUUUUUCUUAAGAAGAGAAAGACAAUCUUGCUAUAAGAAAAGAGCAACCAAUCCACACUGGCACUCUCCCAUCAAAUUUCCCAGGCACCUAAAUCUCACGACCCAAGCUGGGAGUGGGGAGUGCAGGGGCAAAGACCUGGCUGAAUCUGUUCGCUCCAAGGAGAGCCUUCAGCUGGAAGUCCCCCGAGGUCUGCGAGUGAGCAAUACUUCAGCCAAAGCCUGGCUUCAGCCAGGAUGCCUUGAAUUCUAAGAGCUGCACUGACAUUUUCAAGAAGCCAAACUGAGUAGAUCCACAACUGAAGAAUCUGCAUUAUAUUAUCUGAACUCUGUUUCUUGUUAGAAAAGCAGAAUGGCAGGCCUCAUCCCAAGACCUAUUGAACAAGUAUCUGCGUUUUAACAAGAUCCCCCAAGUGAUUGAUAUGCACAUUUCUUUAAUUACCUGAGAAUCUUUGAGAAAGUAGAGAUAUAGAGUACCCUUAUGGAUUCUAUUUGUUUUCUGUCUUCUAAUC
ensembl:lncRNA